UACGCGACUUGAGUCCUAUCGUCGAGGUUCUCGAUCACUUUGUCAAGCACCGAUUUUUGCCCAUCGCUGCUAUAACCACCCGCUUUCUCAAUCAAGAACCCCAAUGGUGCUACCUCAAAUAACAAUCUCAGCUUGGCCUUGGCAGAUGGUGAGGCCACAUUUGUAAAUAUUCCUUUCUCUUUAACGAUGAUCUUUAAUGUAAAAAAAACCCAAAACAAAUAUGCAUUAAAUCAUUUAAAUUUGAUGAAAAAAAUAUGAAUUAUGAUGAAAAUUAAUGUGUUUUAGAAGUAUGGGAUGUUAAUACCUGGUUGACAUCAGGUACCAUUCCACCAGUGUACCUCAAUGUGUAUUUCUCUCUUACAUAAUAGUUGAUCAACUGUUUCAUAAAGAGCAUAAAUUAGUUUCAGAGUUAAUUACACUAGAUAUCCUUGAACUAAUAUCAUCAGUUUAAAUUGAUUUCCAAACUUUAAAAUGUUUUAAAUAUAUCUCUAAACUAAUAUUAUCAUUCUAAAUUGAUCCUCAAACUUCAAAAUGUUCUAAAUACAUCCCCAAACUAUCAAAGUUAUAUCAAUUAGGUCCUUCUCAAUGAUGAAGCCAAAAAAAAAACUUUUUUUGGGGAGAGGGGGGUGUCGGAAUUAAGUUAUUUUGAUAAGAAUUAAAAUGCAAUUUCAUCCUUGUAUUAGCUAAUAUCUUUAUAAUUUUUUAAAUGACUAAAUUAAAAUCUUAUCAUUUUUGGGGGUUCAAAGUGCAACUUUACCAUUACUAAAAUCGUUAAUUUAACUAUUAAAUGACACAUCAAAUUUUAUGUGAUAUAAUUUAAAAUGAAAAUUUUAAAGAAUAAUAGAACAUUGCAACAAAAAUUUUGAAAGUAAAGACAAGUAAAAAAAAGAAUGGACGAUAAAGCUUCGAGAACCUCAAAACCAAAAAUUUUACAGCAUCUAUUUUCUUUAAAAUUUUUAAUUUAGAUCAUGCCACAUAAUAUUUGACGUAUCAUUUAACUGUUUUAAAUUAACCAUUUCAGUAAUAAAAAGACCUGAUUGACACAGUAUCAAUAGAUUGGGAAUAUAAUUAAAAUGUUUAAAGUUUAAGGGCCAACUUAAAAUGAAAAUUAUAGUUUGAGGAUGUCUGGUGCAAUUAACUUUUAGUUCAUAUACAAAUAUGUGUCAUAUACGUACUGUAAGAAAAAUGAAAAGUCAGAGCAACAUAAUCGAACCUUGUCAUAUUCGGGGUUAUCAAAUGUAGCUCUCAAAUUUCCAGGGGAGAACAUUUUUCCUUCACCAAUCUCAUAAGUGUCCUUCACAUGUUGCCAUUUU
rnacentral:lncRNA from 1 species